rnacentral:rRNA from 1 species
UACGGGGGGAGCAAGCGUUGUUCGGAUUUACUGGGCGUAAAGGGCGCGUAGGCGGCCAGCACAAGUCAGUUGUGAAAUCUCCGAGCUUAACUCGGAAGGGUCAACUGAUACUGUGCGGCUAGAGUGCGGAAGGGGCAACUGGAAUUCUUGGUGUAGCGGUGAAAUGCGUAGAUAUCAAGCGGAACACCGGUGGCGAAGGCGGCCUUCUGGACAGUGACUGACGCUGAGACGCGAAAGCGUGGGGAGCAAACAGG